UGCUGAAGCAGGUCAAGCUACCAUUGU
rnacentral:piRNA from 1 species